UGGCUUCCUGCAGCAAAUAAAGUAGAUAGAUAGAUAGAUAGAUAGAUAGAUAGAUAGAUAGAUAGAUAGAUAGAUAGAUAGAUAGAUAGAUAGAUAGAUAGAUAGAUAGAUAGAUAGAUAGAUAGAUAGAUAGAUAGUUUAUGAAUCUCGAGGGAAAUUCAAGUGACAGGAUUCAUGAAUGAAUACAGUAAUUUCACAUUUCAUAUGGAACAGCUGACAGUUGACUUAUUCAGGCCAUAAUAACAGCAAUCAUGAAAAACCAAUCAUCUGGUUCUACAGUCAUUUUAAUAAAGCAAAGUUUUACAUCCAUUCGGGAGUCACAGCCUGAAGAAUAGUUCUGAUUAUUGUUCAGCGCCAUCUUUUCUAGAAGCAGCUUUGAGCGUUUCACAGCUGCUGUAUAAGCUACAUUUGGAAGUGUUAAUAGGAAUGAUCGUGUCUCUAAAGGAAUGGUGCUUCUGAGAUGAUCCUGCUAUAAAUUCUAGGUAAAAAUGAGACCUUUCAUUUGCUACAACUUGUUUUGACCAAGCAGUGUUCAGUCAUUGUGAUGUUCAGCUGUAACCAUUAUAGAGUCAAAACAAAGAGAAGCAGAAGAUGAUCAGUGAAUAGUUGAACACUUACGUAUCUGCAGAUGGUGGUUGGCUGGAUGAAGUCACCUGAUGGAUGGAUGCUGAUGUUCUAACUCACUGUCUGCUGCCUUUUUAUAUGUAACACAGGUGCUGGUGUGCUGGUGAUAAGGUGUGAUGGAUAUUUUUCUUCAGAAAUGUUGGUGAAAAGUUGUCCUUAUCACUCAUUAACCUGACCCACCCUUCUGAUCGAUUACCCUCUUCUGCAGAAUUUACUGUAGGUCACUGGUUUGAUUGAAUUCCUGCCAGCAGUUGAUGACAGAUGUACUGUUAGUUGCAUAAUAAUGUGGACUGGAAAUAGCCUCAUACAUAGAAAUAUAAUUAUAUGUAGCAAAAAUGUGUAGUCUAAUGCAGCCGCUCCACAUAAUGGUAGAAACUACACUUCAUGAUUAAAAUUGCACUCGUUAAUCAUUUUAUUUAUUUAUUUUUUGUAAUUCUUUAUUUUACCAGGUAAGAUCAACUGAGAACAAUUUCAUUUACAAUGAUGACCUGGCAAAAGGCCCCAGCAGGAAGAAAGAUAACAAAUAAACAAGGCUGCUCAUUCUGUCAUAUGGCAUUGUUAGAAAUGCAGCUUACUUUUGUAGAAAUGCAGCAUUUUAUUGUUAUUACUCCACCAAGGAAUGAUGGAAUUGUGUGACUUUCUGAGUCCCAUCAGUUCCUGCUGCCUGCUACAUAUUUAGGUCAUGCAACGUAGAGAACCGCAGCCAGACACGAUAAGUUCAGCCGUCAGCCUUAUUUUUCAUCUUUACGUGAAUCUUCGGACUUUUCUGCAGCGUCUUCGUCAUGUCAAGAAACCGCUUUUUUUUUUUUUUUUUUUGCAUUUAUUCUCAUUGUUUAACUCCACAAAAGAGGUGUCAACAUUGUAUGAGAUUGAUGCAUAUUUUAGUCUUGCAGCCAAAUAUUUUAAUAUUUAGUGCAUGUGUGUGACCAUCACCAGCCCUCCCUGAAAGCUAAGCAGAUAUUCUUUAUUAGAAUUCCCUAUUAUAAGCCAGGGAGGGCAGUGCUACACCUCAGUGAUGUGUGGGGGAAAACAAAGACUGGACAGGACGAACAGGAUGAAAAGGGAUAGAAAAUAACAGGUGGUGCUAUUGCAAUUAAAGAUUGUAAGGUGGUGUGUUAUUCCCAACUACUAACUGCCCAUCAAUAAAACAGAAAACAACAACAACAACAACAACAAAAGAGAUUCAAUAAAUAAACAAACGGUAUUGAACACCACGUCUUAGAUAAACACUUCCUGUGCCGCUGGAAUGGUGACAAAAUAAAAGCCUGCAACAUUAAAACUAUGCCUUCAAAAUAAAAGCUUGGAGGGAACGGUUAUUUUAACACAAGCAAAACAAAGACUUGCCAAGAAUGAUGAACUGAUCAACAGACCUUUAUAAGAGUAAUUUACACACAAUUCUGUAUUCGUACAUAACAUGCGCAUGUAUAACACAUGGCUGUGCUUAGCACAAGGUCAUUUUUUAUUAAAGAUUUCAUCCGUCGGAAAUUUUCGACAACUGAGCAGCUUUAGCGGAGUACUGCGCUCUCUGAGUGCUUUUCUAGUUGUUAUUAUUGAUGAUCAGAAAUCAUGGCACCAUAGAAUGUGUCCAUUUAAUAUAGAUGUACCCACAAACAAAAUGAUCUUAUGCUGAGCACAGGCGUGUGUUAUUCAUGUGUACGUUAUGUACGGAUGUCGAAUCAUGUGACCUAAAUAUGUGUAAAUUACUCUUAAAAGGUCUGUUGAUCAGUUCAUCAUUUUUUGCAAGGUUUUGUUUUGAUAGUGUUAAAAUAGUCGUUAUACUAUUAAUACUCUUCAUGCUUGUAUUUUAAAGGCCUAUUUCUUAAUGUUACGGGCUUUUAUUUUUGACAAUAUUCCCACGGCACAGGAAGUGUUUAUCUAUGAAGCACUUUCUUGACACGAGGAAGACGCUGCCGAAAAGUCUGAAAAUUCAGGAUGGAAGGAAAACUCAGAAACACCCCCACAAUUUAAUCAGUUGUUCCUUGUAUCAUUUCUGAUGGAUAAGUCCUGAUAAGUCCUCAGUGGUGGAUUAGUAGUAGGAUCACAAUCAUGUGAUCAUCAGCAGGCAGCUGACAUAGUGUUCACUUGUUGUCAUGGUUACAGUGAUGCCAUGACGCUAUCUGGCAAUGAUACAGAAACCUUUAACAAAUCUGUGGAUCCAGACUAUAAGCUGCAUCACUGCUAAAAUCUAAUCACUUGGUCCUUGUAUCAUUUCUGACCUUCACUGAAAAUUUCAUCCAAAUCUGCUGAAAUUUUCAGGGAAGGUCAGAACAAUUAAGUCCCAUCAAUUAAUCCUCCUGUUGUCCUCAUUUACGGACACCAAAAAAUAUUAUUUCCUUGUCUGAAAAAAUCCAAAAAUUCAGCAAUAAAAUCCCCAAGUUUUUGAAAAUUUGCAAAACCUUCAGGAAGAAAAUUCCAAUAAUUCCUGAAAAGUUUUAUUUAAAAAAAAAAAAAAAAAAACCAAAUGUGACAAAAAAUUCUUGUAAAUAUUUUCAAAAAAAUGAGUAAAAAUCUUCCAAAAAAUCCAAAAAAUAUCUGAAGUGAUUCCAUAUAUAUCAGUAAAACUUCUGAUAUUUCCUUUAAGAACAUUCAGGAAAAAAAAUCAACCAAUUAGAUUUUUUUGUGAAUGUUCUUAAGAAACAUUUUUAACAUUUCUUUUUUUCCACCAAAAAAUAUUCAAAAAUUUCCCAGAAAUGUUGGAAAUGUGGACAUAAGAAGUUUCACUGUGAAAAUAUAUUUUUAUUCCACAUUUUCAAACUUUAAAACAGGUCAUUUUUGACCCGCAGGACGACAUGAGGGUUAACGGUGGCCGCUACAUAUUUAGGUCAUGUGAUUCGGUAUCUGUACAUGUCAUACACAUGCAGAACACAUGCAGAACACAUGCAGAACACAUGCAGAACACAUGCAGAGCACAUGCAGAACACAUGCAGAGCACAUGCAGAACACAUGCAGAGCACAUGCAGAACACAUGCAGAGCACAUGCAGAACACAUGCAGAACACAUGCAGAACACAUGCAGAGCACAUGCAGAACACAUGCAGAACACAUGCAGAACACACGUUAUGUACUCAGCAUGAGGUCAGGGAAUGAACAGUCUUGGCGGAGUACUGCGCUCUCUGACUGCUUUUCUUGUGUCUAAUUGUUGUUGCUGUAUUAUUGUUGGUGUAUUUCUUUGUUUGGGAACCGGAGGUCAAUGAAAUCAGAGUUCACAGCUUCUGAUAAAGACACUGAUUCAGUUCAGUUUUAUUUAUAUAGAGCCAAUCACAGGUGGAAUUGUCUGAAGAUGCUUCACAGAACCCAUAUGAACCCCCAGAGCAGCCCUAAGGCAACAGUGGCAAGAAAAACUCCCUUUAAACGGGAAGAACCCUUGAACUGAUAAACUGUAAUCCUAAUGUGUAGUUUCUACAUAUGAAGCUACGUUCAUACAUUCCACUACAGACAGAAAUGUGUUGCUUCCAUGUGUGAGACAUUUUCACCACAAUGAUUCUAAAUCCAUGUCCAGACUGGGAGGGGUUCAUGCUGUGUGAUGCAACGAUGCUGAGUCUAACAUCAGGUUGUGGAAAACAACCUCCGUCUGGGUCGUGAUGUUUAGAUGCUGCUGUGCUGGAGAUAAGCAGCUGAAGCAGAAUCCAGGUAAACUCAGGUGGAAGUGAUGUUUAAUCAGAGCUGCUUCAGGUUUAGAGUGAGUGAAUGAAAACGGACUGGAACAGCUUCAGUGUUGAUCAUUAAACCUGUAAAAACAACAUCUGUCAGAGCAGUGAAGGUUUGCAUAUCUGUAGAGACCAAUAUAACCAAAACAGGAAACACUGGAGCCUCAGUGAGUUUGGUUUAACUGCAGCUUCUGGUCGAACUGGAGAGACGUCAGCAGGAUGAAAGAACCAGUUAAAGGAACGCCAUGACAGAGACUGGACCAUCUGCAGAUUCACAUCUGAGCUUGGAUGUUUCUGGUUCUGGAUGUUCAUUUCAUGCACCCCGAGGUGGAGAACGUUGGUUAUACUGACCAGAAAUCUCGAGCUCGGCCCAGUGAGACUUCUUCCCACUGGACGCCUCCUCGGCCGACAUGAUGGUGUAACAUCUGCGGGGAUCUGGAGGAUCAUAUUUUUCCUUUGGCAUACCUGUUAAUCUGAAAAACAGAGCAGCAACACAGAAAAGCUCAGAUAACUCAUCCUUUUUCAUGUGGCUGCUGAUUUUACCGGCUCUCUGACUAAAAAACGGAGGUGAUUUCCCGACGUCUCGACCAGAACCGAAGCCAAACCAGAAAAACUCACAGAGGAAACACCUGGAGGACGACUGGCCGCCGAUCCUCCACAUCUGCUCUGAAGGAAUCCAUCUCCAGGGUAAAUCGAGGUUUUAGCAGCAAAUUAAAACGUCUAAAAUCCUCUCUAACUUGUUCUGUUUGACCAAACGAGUGGAUUAUCCGGAGCAGAUCUCUAAUGCAGCAGCAAAUUAGCAUAUUACAGCCCAAAAUAAAAAUAUAUUCAGUUUAAUUUC